GACCAGAGAGGGAACCUGGCCUGGGCCCCAAGACCGACUAAUACAAAUCUUUUUUGCUCAUCUCUCUACCAAGAAAAUAUCAAGACAAGCAUGACAAGAAUUAAAUUUGAACCUAUUUGAUAUUUUGCCAACUUCUAGUCAAGUGAAAAUUAUAGCUUUAUGAAAGAGGUCCAAAUAGAGUAAUCAGCUGGCAUAUGGCAUUCUAAGCCACAUUGUGACUGGAUGAAAUCAUUAAGGAAGUAAUACUUCUGGAGAAAUGAAGAAUUGAAAGAACAAACUCUGGGAUACUUCAAUGCAUUGGGAUAGAGGAAAAGAAAGAGAACUAGCAAAAUGAGAUCUGUAAAGAGAACUUUAAGAAUUGUUUUCCUAAAGCCAAAGGAAAAAUGAAAUUUGAAUGCCUGAACUGUUCAUUCUGCACAUGAAGAAACUGAGGCCUAGAGGGAGAAGGACUUAUUCAAAUAGGUCCACAGCAAAGAUGGACUUAGGAUCCAGAUAUUCUGCCUCUCCCUUGGUAUUUCAAAUUUUCUACCAUGUUCUUCCAGCUCCAGUCAAUUCUAUUGUUUUUCAAACACCAUCCUCAUGGUGGCAUUUUAAGAAAACCAGACGGCAUUUAGCAGCAAGCCUGCCUAGCAUCAAGAGAAACCGGGGCUUCGAUGUACUCCAAUUGGAGCGAAGAUGUGUGGAAAAUACCAAGCAAAUGUUUGGACUUGGAAUCCAAAAUAACAUGUACUUAACUUUGCAAUUUGAAAAGCUAAAUUCAAACAUGUGUCUUGUUGGUUUUCAGAAAAUACAGAAUCUUCUAACAUAAAAUUAAAUAAACACCAGCCCAAAAAUGUGGUCCCUUUUUCCCCUCUCUCCUUCCAGAGAUUUUUCUAAUUCUUUCCAAAUUUUGUUUUACCAAUUUGGGGACUUUGCAUAUGCUUGUUCUAUAUGAGGCAACUUUUUUAUACUGGCUAAUACUAUAAUACAAAAAGAUCGCUCCUUAUUUCCUAGUUCCUUAUACACGGUUAGUGCUCUGGUCCUUUGCUCAUGGUAUUUCUCUGCCUACCUGUUUCCUCAGUACCCUCUACGUGUCUGAAAUAUAAUCUCUGAAGACUCCUUCUUG